AUUGAACGCUGGCGGCAGGCUUAACACAUGCAAGUCGAGCGGGGUGAUGGUGCUUGCACUAUCACUUAGCGGCGGACGGGUGAGUAAUGCUUAGGAAUCUGCCUAUUAGUGGGGGACAACAUCUCGAAAGGGAUGCUAAUACCGCAUACGUCCUACGGGAGAAAGCAGGGGAUCACUUGUGACCUUGCGCUAAUAGAUGAGCCUGAGUCGGAUUAGCUAGUUGGUGGGGGAAAGGCCUACCAAGGCGACGAUCUGGAGCGGGUCUGAGAGGAUGAUCCGCCACAAUGGGACUGAGACACGGCCCAGAAUCCUACGGGAGGCAGCAGUGGGGAAUAUUGGACAAUGGGGGGAACCCUGAUCCAGCCAUGCCGCGUGUGUGAAGAAGGCCUUAUGGUUGUAAAGCACUUUAAGCGAGGAGGAGGCUCUUUUGGUUAAUACCCAAGAUGAGUGGACGUUACUCGCAGAAUAAGCACCGGCUAACUCUGUGCCAGCCGCCGCCGUAAAAC
rnacentral:rRNA from 1 species